UUCCUACGGGGGGCAGCAGUGGGGAAUAUUGCACAAUGGGGGGAACCCUGAUGCAGCGACGCCGCGUGGGUGAGGAAGUACUUCGGUAUGUAAAGCCCUAUCAGCAGGGAAGAAAAUGACGGUACCUGACUAAGAAGCCCCGGCUAACUACGUGCCAGCAGCCGCGGUAAUACGUAGGGGGCAAGCGUUAUCCGGAAUCACUGGGUGUAAAGGGAGCGUAGACGGCUGUGCAAGCCUGAAGUGAAAGGCGGGGGCCCAACCCCUGGACUGCUUUGGGAACUGUACGGCUGGAGUGCAGGAGAGGG
rnacentral:rRNA from 1 species